rnacentral:rRNA from 1 species
GACGAACGCUGGCGGCGUGCUUAACACAUGCAAGUCGAACGGUAAGGCCCUGCUUUUGUGGGGUGCUCGAGUGGCGAACGGGUGAGUCAUCCGUGAGUAACCUGCCCUUGACUUUGGGAUAACUUCAGGAAACCGGGGACAAUACAGGAUAGGCGCUCCUGCUGCAUGGUGGGGGUUGGAAAGUUUCGGCGGUUGGGGCUGGAUGCGCGGCUUAUCAGCUUGUUGGUGGAGUAGUGGCUUACCAAGGCUUUGACGGGUAGCCGGCCCGGGAGGGGGACCGGCGACAAGGGGACUGAGGUACGGAGCAGACUGCUAUGGGAGGCAACAGUGGAGAGUAUGGUCCAGUGGGCGGAAGUCUGAUGCGGCGACGCCGCGUGCGGGAUGUCGGUCUUCGGGUUGUGAACCGCUUCCGCCUGAGACGAAGCGUGAGUGACGGUAAUGGGUGAAGAAGCACCGGCUAACUACGUG